GGCGUCGGUUCAGGCAAACCGGUUUGAAUCGGUUUUCGAAGGAAAUCUUAUAUUAUAGUGAACCCUCUUAUUGACGGUGCACCCUGUUCCAUCCUUUCUUGUAGCCGUCGAAGGAAAUCGCUGAUGCCACGUGACUCAUGUCAGUUCUAGACUUCUAGCUAUUUGUUCUCAAGUGUCUUAUCGUUUGGAGAACUAAUCGCAGCCCUAGGGCACGCAGCGCACACGGCAGCCCCUCACCCUCACGUACGGCGGCACCUUUCCCUCUCAGCCCUCUCUCUGUCUCUCAACUGCUUCUCUCGCCUUCACGGCCAUGGUGCUGUAUUGCUUCUUGGUGACGACGACCCUCAGCGACGACGACACCACCAGUGGCUGCGAAGUGCGACGGCGCUUCUCUGCUCUAUUUUCCCAGGGCUGCUGUCCCCGGUCGUCUUCUUCUUCCCUGCUACCAUCAACAAAGAGUAACGGGGAUUUCACUAUUUCCCACAUUUCCCACUCAUGCUUGAGCUUACUUCCACUCCAUCCACUUCUAACAAUGCCAAUUUAUCUUGUUUCCAACCAACGGUUGCUUAUGCUUCUCCUCAUUCUCAUUACAAUUUAUUUGUUCCCCUAAGUAUUUUUCCUCUUUUCAUUUCUUCAUAGUUCUGAUUCUUCCUGUAUUUUCUGUAUGCAAAGGUUUGCUUGUAUGAAUGGUGGCUGGUUAAAGCUAAACAUGGAUUCGAAGGAAAGUAGUUAGCCGUUGGAGGCAUUACAUAAAAAAAAUAAGAAACUUAGCUUGAUUUUGUUUUAGGGUUUUUCGUGACCUUGUUUUACCUCUUUUAAGGCAUUUUGGUGAUUUGUUGAAAUUGCUUUGGAGUAAUGUCUUCCUUGAAAUAUGUAAUAUGGUAAUUGCAUAACUUGAUUCUGUGAAUCAGGGAAGAAGUAGUGCGUGUCUUCACCAGUGCUCCCAUUGCCAAACGGCAUGAUCUAUUCUCUCUUGAGACCACAGAUGGGAUUUAUAUUAUCAUAAGGGGUUUCAUUGACGAGUAGCGCACCAUUGAUAAUGGUUUCCCUUUUGAGGUUUUCAAUAAUUUCUUAUUUGGUUUUCCUCAAAACUGGGAAAGCUAUGCAGCAGAUUUGAUUAGGGAUGAAUCAAAUAUUGGCACUGAUUUGGGUAGUGCUGUUCCUAAAACUGUAUCAUCAAUUGAUCUUGAGAUCUUCUCUGCUGGUAAAUAUUUGGAUGAUGUUGAAUGAUUUGGUUCUAUGAUUAUUUACAUUUACACGUCUUAUAGUUUCUUUGAUAUUUUAUCAUUUCGUAUCUCCAAGAUCUUUUGUUAUCCAUCUUGAUGUUUUAAGUGUUACAGCUUAAGAAAAAUCUAUCCUAUCUUCUUCGAAACCUUUAAAGGAAGCAUUUGGAGCUCAUGGGAAGCCACAUGCUGAAGUUGAAUGGCAUGAUUCUAAUGCUACAUGUGGGGUUAAUGCUGCUCAAGGUAGUGGCAGCAUUAGACAUGUUACCAGGUUUCAUAACAUGAAAGUCUGUCAGCAGAAGCAGCCAGCUUCUGGAAUUUCUCUAAAACAUCCAGAGGAACUGAAUAGUCCAGUGACACCAGUUUAGUUGCAAUCUCUGGAAAAAGUAACUACAGAAAAAGUAAAUACACCAUCUGAGCAUCUCGAUGAAAGCUCCACAUCUAGAGUUUCUAGGACUUUAUUUGAAAAUAAAUAAGGCUGUUCCAGGAGAAAGAAAGCUACAAGUGAAAAAAGUCAGAUCACGUGUGAACGAAAAAGGUCUAGAUCUGCCACUGCAACCAAAUAUCCACGAAAAAAGGGGUUUAAGCCCAUCAAUCAUUGGUGAGGAAGAGAAGAUAUCCUCAGUGUCUAUUCUAUCAAGUUUCAAAAAGUCCAGAUCAGGAAGGUUGCUUCUACCACCCUUAGAGUUUUGGCGUAACCAGAUACCAAUUUACAAUGCGGACCAUGUGGUUACAGAAAUUCAGGGAGGUGCAUCUCUGGUUGAAUAGAUAAAGGUUCUUCAGCAUCAUUGAGCCGACUCAUUCCUAUUAUGCUGCCUGAUCAGUGGAUGCUCUUAUACUGUAGCUCAUGAUAUUUAGCAAGUGGAGGUCAAUCUGUGCUAAAGCUAAUGCAAAACUAAGAUGUUAACUGUUACUAAUUUGAAGAAAAUCACAAAAUUUCCUAGGAGAAUUUGACAUAUUUUAGAGGUAAGUUUGAAUAUAAUUGAAAAUUUUGGGUCUUUGUACUAAAACAUUGUUGUAGCACUUCUGUUCAUCUAGGUCUGUGGUACAAAAUGGAUGUUGGGUGCUUGUGGAAUCUAAACCUUUUUUGAAAACUGAGCAUAAAAGGAGAAGUAUUUCUCUUGGAUGAAAACCAAUGCAGUUUAAACAAGUUUCAUCAACAACGCACAAUACAUGGGAAGAGGGAUCUAAUUGGAGAAAUAGACAGACAGGGAUACAUUGCAAUGCAUGGACUCUAGAUUUUAUUGUUUCUUGUUGAAAAUAGUCCAUGUUGUUUGGAAGAGUCUAUGCUUGCUCUGCGGUACAUAAAACCUAAUAAUAGACAAAUAGCAUAUUUUAGUUUUAGACUUAUUGAGUUAUAGUUCUUACUUCUCACUCCUUAUCAGGUCAACAAAACUCUCAAACAACUUCAUCCCUAGGUCAACUGAAAUUUAUAGAAACCUUAGAUGAUAGAAAUAAGAUUUAUUACAUUUAAAUUGGGAGUAUGCAUUCUAUUAGUUCAACUCACUUGUUAAAUAAGAUACCUUGGCAAUUAACUGA